CCUACGGGAGGCAGCAGUGGGGAAUAUUGGACAAUGGGGGCAACCCUGAUCCAGCCAUGCCGCGUGUGUGAAGAAGGCCCUCGGGUUGUAAAGCACUUUCAGUGAGGAAGAACGCCUGGUGGUUAAUACCCAUCAGGAAGGACAUCACUCACAGAAGAAGCACCGGCUAACUCCGUGCCAGCAGCCGCGGUAAUACGGAGGGUGCGAGCGUUAAUCGGAAUUACUGGGCGUAAAGCGCGCGUAGGUGGCUUGAUAAGCCGGUUGUGAAAGCCCCGGGCUCAACCUGGGAACGGCAUCCGGAACUGUCAAGCUAGAGUGCAGGAGAGGAAGGUAGAAUUCCCGGUGUAGCGGUGAAAUGCGUAGAGAUCGGGAGGAAUACCAGUGGCGAAGGCGGCCUUCUGGACUGACACUGACACUGAGGUGCGAAAGCGUGGGUAGCAAACAGGAUUAGAUACCCCAGUAGUC
rnacentral:rRNA from 1 species